ACGCUGGCGGCAGGCUUAACACAUGCAAGUCGAACGGUAACAGGAAUUAGCUUGCUAAUUUGCUGACGAGUGGCGGACGGGUGAGUAAUGCUUGGGAAUCUGGCUUAUGGAGGGGGAUAACUACGGGAAACUGUAGCUAAUACCGCGUAAAAUCUUCGGAUUAAAGGGUGGGACUUUCGAGCCACCUGCCAUAAGAUGAGCCCAAGUGGGAUUAGGUAGUUGGUUAGGUAAAGGCUGACCAAGCCGACGAUCUCUAGCUGGUCUGAGAGGAUGACCAGCCACACUGGAACUGAGACACGGUCCAGACUCCUACAGGAGGCAGCAGUGGGGAAUAUUGCACAAUGGGGGGAACCCUGAUGCAGCCAUGCCGCGUGAAUGAAGAAGGCCUUCGGGUUGUAAAGUUCUUUCGGUGACGAGGAAGGUUGAUAGGUUAAUAGCCUAUCAAAUUGACGUUAAUCACAGAAGAAGCACCGGCUAACUCCGUGCCAGCAGCCGCGGUAAUACGGGGGGUGCGAGCGUUAAUCGGAAUAACUGGGCGUAAAGGGCACGCAGGCGGUGACUUAAGUGAGAUGUGAAAGCCCCGAGCUUAACUUGGGAAUUGCAUUUCAUACUGGGUCGCUAGAGUACUUUAGGGAGGGGUAGAAUUCCACGUGUAGCGGUGAAAUGCGUAGAGAUGUGGAGGAAUACCGAAGGCGAAGGCAGCCCCUUGGGAAUGUACUGACGCUCAUGUGCGAAAGCGUGGGGAGCAAACAGGAUUAGAUACCCUGGUAGUCCACGCUGUAAACGAUGUCGAUUUGGGGAUUGGGCUUUGAGCUUGGUGCCCGUAGCUAACGUGAUAAAUCGACCGCCUGGGGAGUACGGCCGCAAGGUUAAAACUCAAAUGAAUUGACGGGGGCCCGCACAAGCGGUGGAGCAUGU
rnacentral:rRNA from 1 species